UGAUGCUGGCUUGUAACAGAGCACUGUGCUCAGCCCCGCUCCAAUCCAUUCAACCCCUGUGCACUAUUCGGAGUGUUGCAAGCUGAGACAAUGUGGGGGUGACCCGGUUGUAUUUUUAAUGCGACUUGGGUUACUAUCAAAACGGUCAAGGCUUGUCCUCCGGUUUAUAUUACAAACACUUUUAUUGUCUUGUAGAAUGUAUUAGCCUCUCGUUAGGCGAAACUUAAAUACAACUUUCAACAACGGAUCUCUUGGCUCUCGCAUCGAUGAAGAACGCAGCGAAAUGCGAUAAGUAAUGUGAAUUGCAGAAUUCAGUGAAUCAUCGAAUCUUUGAACGCACCUUGCGCUCCUUGGCUAUUCCGAGGAGCAUGCCUGUUUGAGUGUCAUGUUAAUAUCAACUCCGAUGGUUUUUGUUAACUAUUGGGUGUUGGACUUGGAGGUUAGUGCUGGCUGCAAAGUCGGCUCCUCUUGAAUGCAUUAGCUUGGACCUGUGCGCGUUUGCUAGCGGUGUAAUACAUUUUAUUCACCACGGGCCGUGUCACUAUUAGGGUCUGCUUCUAAUCGUCCUCACGGACAAUAUAAACUUUAUGACUCUGACCUCAAAUCAGGUAGGACUACCCGCUGAACUUAAGCAUAUCAAUAAGCGGAGGAAAAGAAACUAACAAGGAUUCCCCUAGUAACUGCGAGUGAAGCGGGAAAAGCUCAAAUUUAAAAUCUGGCGGCUUUGUCGUCCGAGUUGUAAUCUGGAGAAGCGUUUUC
rnacentral:rRNA from 1 species